AUAACUGCUCCUCUUCUUUUGUGUGUUCUGAACAAUGAUGAAAUUUUUAUCAAAAUCAAAAUCAAAUACAAUCCUAUUGUGUGUUUAUAUACAGGUCCUAAUAUAACUACCAAAAUUUUUCUUAUAUUGAAAGGUUUCAAUCAGAUUGAAUAUAACAUAAAUUUUCUCUUUUGGUCAUCCAAAAUGUGGAAAUGUAGAAAAAAUGCACAGCUUCCUUGCAAAAGCACAGGUCUGUUCCAAGUAUAGACACCUAUCUCAUACGAACAUUUCAAUAAAUGUUAAUGACUCUGUGGUCUGCAACGCCAACACUUGCACCUCCAACCCCUCUUCAUACACUUUCUGUUAUAUCUGAAGGCAUGGGCAACUCCAAAUAAGUCUUUUCUUUCUUUCUGUUCCCCCUUUAGAUCCAACUUGAAUGCUUCCUGAUUAAAUAUAUUCAGGAGUGAUUUCAGAGGAAUUUAAGUUUUGGAUCACUCUUUUGAGAAAGAAAGAAAAGCACCCUUUUAAAAGAGGCAAGGUUGAACAAAGGAGAGAAUUGUGAGAGUGAGAACAAGUAAGUGAGAUAAAGAAGAAAAACUAUAAAUCAGCAAAAUACGGUGCCAAGAGCUCUAGACUACAAAUCAGAAGACCCGAGCCCUAAUUCCUUUCCAGUCUCAUUGGAUUUGUUCGUCGCUUGCCAAAACAGCAGCGAACUCUUUGUCAAACUGCAGCUCAUUUUAUCGGAGAAAAAACCGAACAAAGAACUGCUAUCAUUUCUGAGGUAUGAUUUCUUAAGCAUUUUGUCUUGUGAUUGAUUUUUUAAAUAUAGUAAUUUUAAAGACACGGUUGAAAGAAGCAGCUCUGAUCGCUAAUAUCUGAUGGCUAAUAUGCCAAAUUUCCCUGUCUGAUGUGAAAGAAUAAAGUAAAAGCAAAAUACAGGCAUUUUUCAUUCAGUCCAAGAAAAAAUACAAAGCAUGUUUCUAGAUAUAGCUAUGUAAGUCUAUUUUUAAAACUAAAAUGGGCUUUAAUGUUUCGUUAUUGAUUAUUUCUUAGCUCUAGCUAUAAUAAAAUGAAGAUAGAUAAUUUUAUAAUCCAAGACCAUUUAAAACACUGUGUAUAAUUAUCUCUGUCAGGCAAGGAAAGCCUGGAUUCUUCUUUGCCCUGACACAGGCAUAUCCCAGCAGCUACUAGCAGCUCACAGAGAGAACUGAAUAGAAGGGGCAGUGAGCACUACUGUUAAGUGACACAAAAGAGCCCUUUGCAGUCAAAUAUGUAGUUUCCUCAAUAUCAGAAUCGGUUUCUGCUGCCUUCCACCCUGUUCAGAUAUUCCCUUAUUUUUCCAGAACACUAUGUUGUACGGGAAAUGCUAAAAACAAUUCUUUUAUUGUAGCAUUCAGUUUGGACACAUAAGGGAAUAAGGGGUAAGUCUUCUGUUUUAUCCCAAGUGUCUAAACCUAGCUGGUCCCUAGGCUUUAGGGAAUUAGGUUCAGCAAUUAAAUGAUAGGCAAAGGAAUGUCUCUCGGUAUAUCUAGGUGAUCUUACUCUCUUGGAUUACAGAAGUGUUGAAUAUGGAGAGGGUCUUCUCUGUAACCUGCUAAUGAGAAAGGACCCUGGCGUAAUGGAUGUGAAUGGAUGUUUUCUUGCAACAAUAAAACUUUGUUUCUUCUCCGCGGGGCGCAGUGGUUCACGCCUGUAAUCUCAGCA